GGCUAAACUAUGCACCGAAGCUGCGGCAGCGACACUAUGUGUUGUUGGGUAGGGGAGCGUUCUGUAAGCCUGUGAAGGUGUGUCGUGAGGCAUGCUGGAGGUAUCAGAAGUGCGAAUGCUGACAUAAGUAACGAUAAAGCGGGUGAAAAGCCCGCUCGCCGGAAGACCAAGGGUUCCUGUCCAACGUUAAUCGGGGCAGGGUGAGUCGACCCCUAAGGCGAGGCCGAAAGGCGUAGUCGAUGGGAAACGGGUUAAUAUUCCCGUACUUGGUGUUACUGCGAAGGGGGGACGGAGAAGGCUAUGUUGGCCGGGCGACGGUUGUCCCGGUUUAAGCGUGUAGGUGUGUGUUCCAGGUAAAUCCGGUUCACUUUAACACUGAGGCGUGACGACGAGGCACUACGGUGCUGAAGCAACAAAUGCCCUGCUUCCAGGAAAAGCCUCUAAGCAUCAGGUAACAUCAAAUCGUACCCCAAACCGACACAGGUGGUCAGGUAGAGAAUACCAAGGCGCUUGAGAGAACUCGGGUGAAGGAACUAGGCAAAAUGGUGCCGUAACUUCGGGAGAAGGCACGCUGACACGUAGGUGAAGUGAUUUACUCAUGGAGCUGAAGUCAGUCGAAGAUACCAGCUGGCUGCAACUGUUUAUUAAAAACACAGCACUGUGCAAACACGAAAGUGGACGUAUACGGUGUGACGCCUGCCCGGUGCCGGAAGGUUAAUUGAUGGGGUCAGCGCAAGCGAAGCUCCUGAUCGAAGCCCCGGUAAACGGCGGCCGUAACUAUAACGGUCCUAAGGUAGCGAAAUUCCUUGUCGGGUAAGUUCCGACCUGCACGAAUGGCGUAAUGAUGGCCAGGCUGUCUCCACCCGAGACUCAGUGAAAUUGAACUCGCUGUGAAGAUGCAGUGUACCCGCGGCAAGACGGAAAGACCCCGUGAACCUUUACUAUAGCUUGACACUGAACAUUGAGCCUUGAUGUGUAGGAUAGGUGGGAGGCUUUGAAGUGUGGACGCCAGUCUGCAUGGAGCCGACCUUGAAAUACCACCCUUUAAUGUUUGAUGUUCUAACGUGGACCCGUGAUCCGGGUUGCGGACAGUGUCUGGUGGGUAGUUUGACUGGGGCGGUCUCCUCCUAAAGAGUAACGGAGGAGCACGAAGGUUGGCUAAUCCUGGUCGGACAUCAGGAGGUUAGUGCAAUGGCAUAAGCCAGCUUGACUGCGAGCGUGACGGCGCGAGCAGGUGCGAAAGCAGGUCAUAGUGAUCCGGUGGUUCUGAAUGGAAGGGCCAUCGCUCAACGGAUAAAAGGUACUCCGGGGAUAACAGGCUGAUACCGCCCAAGAGUUCAUAUCGACGGCGGUGUUUGGCACCUCGAUGUCGGCUCAUCACAUCCUGGGGCUGAAGUAGGUCCCAAGGGUAUGGCUGUUCGCCAUUUAAAGUGGUACGCGAGCUGGGUUUAGAACGUCGUGAGACAGUUCGGUCCCUAUCUGCCGUGGGCGCUGGAGAACUGAGGGGGGCUGCUCCUAGUACGAGAGGACCGGAGUGGACGCAUCACUGGUGUUCGGGUUGUCAUGCCAAUGGCACUGCCCGGUAGCUAAAUGCGGAAGAGAUAAGUGCUGAAAGCAUCUAAGCACGAAACUUGCCCCGAG
rnacentral:rRNA from 1 species